rnacentral:rRNA from 1 species
AUUGAACGCUGGCGGCAGGCCUAACACAUGCAAGUCGAGCGGAUGAAGGGAGCUUGCUCCUGGAUUCAGCGGCGGACGGGUGAGUAAUGCCUAGGAAUUUGCCUGGUAGUGGGGGAUAACGUCCGGAAACGGGCGCUAAUACCGCAUACGUCCUGAGGGAGAAAGUGGGGGAUCUUCGGACCUCACGCUAUCAGAUGAGCCUAGGUCGGAUUAGCUAGUUGGUGGGGUAAAGGCCUACCAAGGCGACGAUCCGUAACUGGUCUGAGAGGAUGAUCAGUCACACUGGAACUGAGACACGGUCCAGACUCCUACGGGAGGAGGCAGUGGGGAAUAUUGGACAAUGAGCGGAAGCCUGAUCCGGCCAUGCCGCGUGUGUGAAGAAGGUCUUCGGAUUGUAAAGCACUUUAAGUGGGGAGGAAGGGCAGUAAGUUAAUACCUUGCUGUUUUGACGUUACCAACAGAAUAAGCACCGGCUAACUUCGUG